AGGGAAAAUAUAAAAAGUGAAACAUGGAUGCCGUUACGUCGUGUGAGGUGUCUGCUACGAAAAAUGAUUUCGCUGUAAUAGCUGCGUAUCUCGGUUUUUUCCGUAGGUUUCUUCCUCAGGCACAUUGCAAUAUUAUGACUGGGGACAUAGAUGAAAGAAAAAUGAUGAAUAUUCAUAGUUAAGUAGUCCAUAAGUGUUUAUGUUGACUAGUGGAGCAACACUCUGAGCGAGGUGUUCAGCUUAUUAAUGAUGAAAACCAAGAGGGACAUGGAAAAAUAUAGAAAUGAGAAGGAGUCCAGUUCUUCGAGUGCAUAACUAACGCGGGGAACUGCUUGGUGCAGUAUGCUGUACCAGAAAAACAUCUUACAGCGUGAGUAAUAUACUUAGAUUUAGCAGAGCAUCAUAUGUAUUAAGAUGCAUCACAUGUGCAUAAGAAGACAAGUGGCAGUCCGGAAGUUAGCCAGCUGUGAACCGGUUGUUGGACAACUACAUGUGUGGGUGAGCACGCUGCCUCCCACUAUUUUAUUCUAAAAUAUGUUAGCAGAUUCAAUCAACGUGGAUGAUAUAAAAGUAUUUUUAAAGAAAUAUCUUAAUUGAUAGUGCAGUACUGUUUAUCAUUAGUGUAAAAAUGCAGAACUAACCAUUAACCAACAAUAACAAAAGGGGAAACUUUUCUUCUCCCUCUCAACCCCAGUGGUGGAUUAGAGGGUGCAAACACCUGUUUCCAAGGUCCUCUGCUGCUAUGUCCCUAAAUAUUAUUUUUCCUUUAUACACAGAAACCAUACCAAACCUAGGGAUACGGGCUUGUUACAAUGGAAGCUACCCUUUCUCCCCAAUAGAUAUUCUUUGAUUAAGGUUCCAACUGCAUGAUCAACUAAUAAAUGAAUGGUGGCAAUGUGGCCAGCUUUGUAAGCUUUUACAUUCCAGGCUCAUUGGUAUGAAGUUUAAAACAUCAAUAAAGAAGCUACAUCGAAAAUAAUUUAAGGCAAAGCUUCAGUUCUACAUACUUCAGAUUUAAAAUAUAUUUUUAAUGCACGAUCACAUGAGUCUACAAAUUCACACAAUUCAAGGCUUAUCUUAAAGCAUGAUAAUUGCAGAUAAAAUUCAGUCAAAUAUUAACACAUGUACUAUCAUAGCUAUAUUUAUUUAUAUUUUAAGCUUGUUUCAGCAUGUUAGAGAUUUAAUCAUUUUGUAUUUUUACACCUCUUUAUAAAUCCCCAAAGGUUAGCGUUUCAAUAAAUGACUCUUUGCGAUAAUUAAUUUAUUAGAAUUAGUUGCGUGAUAUUAGAAGUCUUAGGAAUAUGAUAAAUUUUUGUCUUAGGAUUUAGAAAUAAAAGUUUAAUGGGUCAGAAAAGCUAAAUGCUGUUUACUACUAAGGACCAUUCUAAUGAAGCUUUAAACAUAUUUUAAUCUUAUAAUAUCUUUUAAAAUUAUUUACUUUGGAAGUUUGUUUGAAAUGCACAUUAUUUACUUCAUUCUUAAAAAAUGUGUUAAAUUAUUUCAGUUGCAAAAUUUUUGUGUUUUUGUUUCUUAAUGUUAAUCAUAUCAGAUAUUUCUUUCAGGUGCAGAUGUAUCUCACUAAACAUAUGCAAAAAUAAAUAAGAUUUUUAAAUGUAAAAUAAUUUACAAAUUCUAUUUUUUAAAAAUAAUUUUUGAAUUUAUUCAAAUUAACUUCACCAUCUAAUUAAAAAAAAUGUUUUACAUUAAAACAAAUAGCAAACUCAUUUUCAAGUUCUUGAGUAGAACUGGUGCCAGCAAGUAUCGUUUUUUUCUCCCUAGUUAUUAUUUAUUAGAUAGAUGCAAUCCGAUUCUCAGUUGCAGCAUAUUUUUCUAUAUUAAAUCUUAAUUAUUUUAGGCCAUACGAAGAGAAGGCUUAGCUUUCUUUUGAACAAGCUGACAAGAAUUUUGAGCGUUUUGACUAGAGCAAUGGCCAUGGGUCAGGACUACUUGCAGAGUAAUGUGUAUAGAAUAGGACAGAGUUUGAGAAGUUUGUUAGUCUGAUAACUUUAAUUCAAUUCAGAGAAAAUAACUGAAGGAAAAUCAGGCAAGUAAAUGCACAAACAAUUUAUUGUAAUUUUGUUUCUCUUAUUCAGUGAUUUUAAAUUUAAAUUAUGUACAAUGUGAGAGAAAUUUGAUUUUUUUUCUGUUAAUAAAAUUUAAAUAAUUCUAAUUUUGCAACUUGGACGCAAUAUCUUAAGCUACCUUACCUUAUGGAAAGUUCAAAUUUCAGAAAUUUAUAUCUGAUGUGCAAGAACAUUUCAUGUAUCAACCAACACUUCGCAAAGAUGGAUACUUAUUUAACUGAUGUGAACAACAAUUUGCAUUUAGAAUUGCUCAACCGACACAUUUUUAUAAAUAAUUAAUUGUUUAUAAUUUGAAACGAUUAUAAAAACAGGAUUUUAUACAGAGGAAGAAAAGACAAAAAGUGCAAUUAUAAAGUGAAAUUUCAUUAAAUCAUACAGAGUAAAAUUUUUUAGUGUUAAAAUUGGAUCAGCUGCACUGCAAGUCAGUAUUUUUAGGUCAAUCUAGACAUAUCUAACAUAUCUUUUCGCAGAUUAGAUAUUGUACAUCAUUUUUGACCGACCACAUUCAAUUUCACAUUAAUAAAAGUAUGAGAAGACUUAAAAUAUUAA